UCCCCUCCCCACCGUACGCCCACCCAUGAUCUCCCGUUCCUCUCGCAAACCACCAGGUAGUUUCGUCCCCCACCCUCACCCCCACCAGCCCGGCAGCACUUUCCGCACCACCAUCCUUCUCUUCCGCUUGCGUGCACUUGCCCCGCCCGCACCUCCCACAUGAUCUUCAUCGCCGCCACCUGGCCUGCCUCUGGAAACCGGCACCAUCACGCGACCGGCCGUGGAUCCGCUCGAGGGGUAGAUGGAGCAGGGCUGCGGUUCUUGCCGGCGCAAGGAGAGCGAACAGGAGAGCGUCCCGGCCGGAGGAGAGGACGACAGGAGACAGUCGGCCAUGGAUGCGGAGGUGUUUGCAUCAGGUACGAGCAGAGGUGACGACGGAGUGGCUUGGGCUUCAGCACUCGCGCUGCUGAUGGAGGGCCACCGUCGCUGUUCGACGGGGUGGCUCGCUGCCGCUAGGGUGUGGUGCUGCGCCGUGCCCGACACCGCUCGCUUUCCUCCCGCCGACCUCUUUUCCUUCGAGAUCUCUCUAGAUGUCAUUCUCCUGGCCGACCUAGCUUGUGUGCCUGCCGCCGCUUCACACACAAGCGCCGCACCUUUCUGUCAUCCCGGCUAGCGUCCCGAUUGCCGCCUCUUGCCUCUCCAUUCUCCCCCGCGUCUGGCUGCCCUCCUCCUCCCCUUGCCUCCGUGACGUUGCCUCCAAUGUUGGAAAGAGCGAUUCAGACAUGGUAUUGGCUGAUGAUAACUUCGCUACAAUUGUUGCAGUAAGAUUCACCCUGUGUCGCAGGGGCUUAUAAUUCAUGAAGCUGAUCGCAAACUUGAGCAAAAUUUUGAGGAGGACAUGAAACAAAUAUUUAAGCGCCUCCCUCGGGCUCUCUGCUCGAAAUGUCUGCUGAGCAUCUUCUUCAUUGAGCCAAAAUCAAUUGCUUGGUGCAGUUCCAGUUUGUUCUUACUAUCCAAUACUAAUUUAUAAGAGGCUACAAUCUCAAGCAGGUUCAUGGUUCUGAAGUUAAUUCCUUUCAGCUUCAAACUGAAAUAAUUCCUCUCUGUUCCCGCACCAUGGAGACGGGCACUAAACUUUCAAAAACAAUAUGAAGUUAACCCUUUCUGUACAUCCGAUGACCCUAUUGUUCUGGUAAAUGUUUUCAUUAUUGCCUAAUUGUGCAAGUGAUUGACACUUUCUGGUUGUGCUAAAUUUCAGUCCUAUAAAUUUUCUUUGAGUAUGUUAAAAAGAUGGAGCCAUAUCUCACUGGGAUUUGUGCAGUAAACUGUUUUUCUUUUCCAUUCUUGCAAAUGAGGCACAUGAUAGAUCACAUCUAUGUAGAGUAUUGGAGAUCCAUGCCCCAUGUUGUUGUCCAGAAUUGAAACAUUUAACAAUACCAGUUCACCAAAUAUUGCCCCGAGGAUUACAGGCAAGCAGUACCAAUCUGGAUGAUUGGUACAGGCAGGCUACCCUUAUGCUUGACGAGGAAUCUGCAACGUAAUGGAACAAGUAAAUAUUAAAGGUGUUGCAGUUUAGGUGGCAUUUUUUUUACAAAGGGCGGAGCGAGUUUCUUUCUUCUUUUUCCCGAUGAGCAUGUUGACCCUUGUGGACAAUUGUACAUGGCACCUUCCUGAUGUAUGAGUUCAUUUAAGGUUAUAUUCUUUU